AAACCACCUAUUUUUCUCAUAAUAGGGUUCUGGAGUUCUCUUUGGCAGAGCACGUGGAACACAAGAAUCAUCUUGCAAAUGGAUCAUAAAGGCCUGACAGAGCUCCAGGGGAGCUUUACACUGAGGAAAAGGUGGCCAAUAGGCACAUGAAAAGAUACUCAACAUCACUAAUCAUGAGAGAAAUGCAACGCAAAACUACAAUGAGGUACCACCUCACAUGGGUCAGAAUGGCCAUCCUUAAAAAGUCUACAAAUAACAAAUGC